ACUAGUGAAAUACACAUCUACUGAAAUCUCUCUUUUCUACUCACAGGUGAUGUAUAUGAGUUUUUGGAUCUUUUCCUAAUUAAUUGUACUCCUGCACCCCAAACCUACACAGAUCAGUUCAUGGGGAAAAGCCAAGGCAUCAGAUUCGAUGAUGAUAAAGUUUCUUGAUGCCCACCAAAUCUUCGGACCUAUAAGAUGGAUCUGCCUGCAUAGCAGACCUUUCAGAAUAGCCAAGCACAGAAUGACUCCAAUGGUGACUGGGGUGUGUUGCUGUGAUGGUCACUUACUUGGAAAUGGCAG
rnacentral:lncRNA from 1 species